GACAGAGGGUGCAAACGUUGCUCGGAAUCACUGGGCGUAAAGGGCGUGUAGGCGGGAAGGAUAGUCAGAUGUGAAAGCCCUGGGCUCAACCCAGGAACUGCAUUUGAAACUCCCUUUCUUGAGUGUCGGAGAGGAAAGCGGAAUUCCUGGUGUAGAGGUGAAAUGCGUAGAUAUCUGGAGGAACACCGGUGGCGAAGGCGGCAUCCUGGACCGGUAUUGACGCUGAGGCGCGAAAGCCAGGGGAGCAAACGGG
rnacentral:rRNA from 1 species